CAGGCCUUAUUCCUGGAUUGGGUCUUGUGACCACAAACCUAGAGACAUACAAGAUCGAUGAGUUUUACAGAUUGGUGCUCAUGCCGUGGUGGUAUGCCAGCUGUUGCAGCAUGCGUUAGCAAUCAACACCAGGACUCCAUAAAGACCCAAAGAGAAGCAGAGGAACAAUGAAGAUAUGUAUAUACCGAGCAUGUAGUGCAGCCUGCAAGUUGCCGGCAUUCUUCAGGGAACUCUGAAGCAUGUGGUUCAAGUAAAUAUUGUACGGUCAGGGAAAAUCUUUGCAUAUUCAGGAGCAGAACGCAAGCUGCUGGUGCGAAAACACAAUUGGUACCGUACAGCAGGCAAAGCUUCACUACAGAGUUCUGCAUAGGGAUAUGCAUUUUGCAAAGGUUUGAUGCAUGACAUGAUUGCAGAUGCGUGUAGAUUUCAGCUUGUGCAAGAUAAAAAAUGAAGGUAAGGAGGGAGGGGCAGAAGAAAUGAUGAUUGUCGAGGGGGGAAGAAGCGGGAUAAAAUCAGUUUAUUGAUGGUAACCACAUUCCAUCUUGUUCAACUAAUCAUCAUGUUCAACUAAUUUUUGAUCUGGGAUUA